GCGGUGAAACGGAAAUGUUUCCAAACAUUUUUCGACUAUUAAUUUUUCCCAAGGGGUAUUUUCGAAACACGUAAAAUAAGGGCUGUGUUUCGUGUAGGCUUACCCUGGCAUGCAUUUUUGAUAACCAUGUAAAUCUCUCUCGGACAAGGUGUCUUUAAUCAAUAUAUUCAGCUCUAUUUAAUCUCAGAUUCGAAAAUGCUAAUUAGCAUCAAGUAGUCAUCAUGCAAGACUACAAAUCCUUGCAAACUCCUGCACAUCAUCUCUAGCUGACACAUUUGCUAACAGGCUGGAACCAAUAUGGCUGAAUAUCUCAACCAGACGACCAAAAGAACAAUAGACCCCAACGUUCUGACUCUCUGGGACAAUUGCCUCUACUCCCUGCCAUUCACCAUCGUGAAUGGUCAGGCUUUGGAGCAGAAAACAUUUUGUUUCGUUGUUGUUGUUGUUGUUUUAUAUGAAUUCAUAUUGAAAAUGUAUACCUGGUAGUGGUUG